UUGGUAUUCAGCUCAGUGGCAUAAGCACCUGCCUGGCAAGCAGUAGGUCAUGAGUUCGAUCCCCAUUACCAAA
rnacentral:tRNA from 1 species